rnacentral:pre_miRNA from 1 species
AAAAAGAUAAACCCUGGUUUCCGUGUCCAACGUUUGACCAUCCGACUUAUUUGAAAAAAUUAUGAAAAAAAAUUGAAAAGAAAAGUCACACAUAAAGUAUUAAUCAUAUUUUAUCAUUUAACAACAAUAAAAAUACUAAUUAUAAAAAAAUUUCAUAUAAAACGGACAGUCAAACGUUGGAUAUGGAAAUU